GCUUGCUUGUUGGGGUUGUAGGACACUCUAUACGGAGUUACAAAGGACGACAUUAGACGAAUCAUCUGGAAAGAUGAAUCAAAGAAGGUAAUAAUCCUGUAGUCGAAAAUGUUGUCUCUCUUGAGUGGAUCCUGAGUACGACGGAGCACGUGAAAUUCCGUCGGAAUCUGGGAGGACCAUCUCCUAAGGCUAAAUACUCUCUAGUGACCGAUAGUGAACCAGUACCGUGAGGGAAAGGUGAAAAGCACCCCGGAAGGGGAGUGAAAUAGAACCUGAAACCGUGUGCUUACAAGUAGUCAGAGCCCGUUAAUGGGUGAUGGCGUGCCUUUUGUAGAAUGAACCGGCGAGUUACGAUUUGAUGCAAGGUUAAGCAGUAAAUGUGGAGCCGUAGCGAAAGCGAGUCUGAAUAGGGCGUUUAGUAUUUGGUCGUAGACCCGAAACCAGGUGAUCUACCCUUGGUCAGGUUGAAGUUCAGGUAACACUGAAUGGAGGACCGAACCGACUUACGUUGAAAAGUGAGCGGAUGAACUGAGGGUAGCGGAGAAAUUCCAAUCGAACCUGGAGAUAGCUGGUUCUCUCCGAAAUAGCUUUAGGGCUAGC
rnacentral:rRNA from 1 species